GAUGAACGCUGGCGGCGUGCCUAAUACAUGCAAGUCGAGCGAACGGACGAGAAGCUUGCUUCUCUGAUGUUAGCGGCGGACGGGUGAGUAACACGUGGAUAACCUACCUAUAAGACUGGGAUAACUUCGGGAAACCGUAGCUAAUACCGGAUAAUAUUUUGAACCGCAUGGUUCAAAAGUGAAAGACGGUCUUGCUGUCACUUAUAGAUGGAUCGGCGCUGCAUUAGCUAGUUGGUAAGGUAACGGCUUACCAAGGCAACGAUGCAUAGCCGACCUGAGAGGGUGAUCGGCCACACUGGAACUGAGACACGGUCCAGACUCCUACGGGAGGCAGCAGUAGGGAAUCUUCCGCAAUGGGCGAAAGCCUGACGGAGCAACGCCGCGUGAGUGAUGAAGGUCUUCGGAUCGUAAAACUCUGUUAUUAGGGAAGAACAUAUGUGUAAGUAGCUGUGCACAUCUUGACGGUACCUAAUCAGAAAGCCACGGCUAACUACGUG
rnacentral:rRNA from 1 species